rnacentral:rRNA from 1 species
GUGGGGAAUUUUGGACAAUGGGCGCAAGCCUGAUCCAGCAAUGCCGCGUGCAGGAAGAAGGCCUUCGGGUUGUAAACUGCUUUUGUACGGAACGAAACGGUCCUGGUUAAUACCUGGGGCUAAUGACGGUACCGUAAGAAUAAGCACCGGCUAACUACGUGCCAGCAGCCGCGGUAAUACGUAGGGUGCGAGCGUUAAUCGGAAUUACUGGGCGUAAAGCGUGCGCAGGCGGUGCUGUAAGACAGGCGUGAAAUCCCCGGGCUCAACCUGGGAAUUGCGCUUGUGACUGCAGUGCUGGAGUACGGCAGAGGGGGAUGGAAUUCCGCGUGUAGCAGUGAAAUGCGUAGAUAUGCGGAGGAACACCGAUAGCGAAGGCAGUCCCCUGGGCCUGUACUGACGCUCAUGCACGAAAGCGUGGGGAGCAAACAGGAUUAGAUACCCCAGUAGUCC